AAUGUGCAUGAAGUGAUAUACCAAGUAUCUAGAGUAUACUUAUAUAUCAUAUAAGUAUAUAUGAUAUAUACUUAUUUAUAUAUCAUAUAAAUUAAGUAUUAAUAUAUUUAUUUAGAAGAAGGAGGAGUAGUAAAGAAGUGAUGGGCUUUUUUUUUUUUUUUUUUUUUUACUCCAUCAGGGCCAAGUUCACAUCUCAUUGCCUUCAGGCUGCUGCCCUGCCCUGUCCUUGGGGAGCAGGGGGCUCUGGAUGAGGCUCAGCACCAGUGGGGGCGCAGCUUAUCGGGUUUUCUCUGGGGCACGUUUUCUCCUUCAAUUAUUUUCUCCUCCUGGAAAGAGAAAACGGAAUGGGAAGGGGGAAAAGAGGGCAGGUGGGGUGGUGCGGGCUCUGUCAGGGAGAGGCAUGAGGAGCAGGGAGGGAUAUGACCCAUUUCUCUGCUCAUCUCCGUGUUUAUACACAGGGACAGGUGUGCUGAUUUCCUCCUGGAUUUAACGAAGGGAAGAUGAGCAGGACCCAGAUAACUGACCUGGUUUAAAGCACUUGGCGGAUUUUAACAACAAAAAAAAAAAGGAGUCCCUCUGGAUUUGAGAAACUUCAGCUGAAGUUUUACCACUUGCAGCAAAUUUGAACCUCACCAGCUCCUGCCACUCGCAGCUGGGGUUUCCCCUUCCCUGCCACCACGCAGGCAUGGGGGGCUCAGGUGCCUCCUCCCAAAUAUUUCUGCAGGGACCUGAACGGCUUUGGGAGCCUGGGCCAUGUGCUACCCAGCUCUGCCUCCUCCUCGAAGCAGGAUGGGAAGUGUCAGCUGCUGGGGAUAAAAGGGAAGAAAUUCUCGGUCCCAUGGCUGAAUGCAGGUUUGCAGUGAUAACCCUACAAGCCCCUGGAGAAUCCACACCCAGCACAAGUGAGACUUCAAAAAAAAUAAUAAUAAUUCGGAUCCAGCUCUGAUUUAC
rnacentral:lncRNA from 1 species